rnacentral:rRNA from 1 species
GACGUAGGGCGCGAGCGUUGUCCGGAUUUAUUGGGCGUAAAGAGCUCGUAGGCGGCUUGUCGCGUCGAAUGUGAAAACCCACGGCUCAACUGUGGGCUUGCAUUCGAUACGGGCAGGCUAGAGUUCGGUAGGGGAGACUGGAAUUCCUGGAUGUAGCGGUGAAAUGACGCAGAUAUCAGGAGGAACACCGGUGGCGAAGGCGGUUCUCUGGGCCUGUUCUGACGCUGAGGAGCGAAAGCGUGGGGAGCGAACAGG